rnacentral:rRNA from 1 species
UACAGAGGGGGCAAGCGUUAUUCGGAAUUAUUGGGCGUAAAGGGCGCGUAGGCGGCUUGGCAAGUGGAAGGUGAAAUCCCUCGGCUUAACCGAGGAACUGCCCUCCAAACUGCUUCGCUUGAGACCGGGAGAGGUGAGUGGAAUUCCCAGUGUAGCGGUGAAAUGCGUAGAUAUUGGGAGGAACACCAGUGGCGAAGGCGGCUCACUGGACCGGUACUGACGCUGAUGCGCGAAAGCGUGGGGAGCAAACGGGG